rnacentral:rRNA from 1 species
GUGUCAGCCGCCGCGGUAAUACGGAGGGGGCAAGCGUUAUUCGGAAUCAUUGGGCGUAAAGGGCGCGUAGGCGGCUUGGCAAGUCAAAGGUGAAAUCCCUCGGCCCAACCGAGGAACUGCCUUUGAUACUGCCUAGCUCGAGGCCGGGAGAGGGUAGCGGAAUUCCCAGUGUAGCGGUGAAAUGCGUAGAUAUUGGGAGGAACACCAGUGGCGAAGGCGGCUACCUGGACCGGUUCUGACGCUGAUGCGCGAAAGCGUGGGGAGCAAACAGGAUUAGAUACCCCUGUAGUCC